rnacentral:rRNA from 1 species
GAUGAACGCUGGCGGCGUGCCUAAUACAUGCAAGUCGAGCGAACAGACGAGGAGCUUGCUCCUCUGACGUUAGCGGCGGACGGGUGAGUAACACGUGGAUAACCUACCUAUAAGACUGGGAUAACUUCGGGAAACCGGAGCUAAUACCGGAUAAUAUAUUGAACCGCAUGGUUCAAUAGUGAAAGACGGUUUUGCUGUCACUUAUAGAUGGAUCCGCGCCGCAUUAGCUAGUUGGUAAGGUAACGGCUUACCAAGGCAACGAUGCGUAGCCGACCUGAGAGGGUGGUCGGCCACACUGGAACUGAGACACGGUCCAGACUCCUACGGGAGGCAGCAGUAGGGAAUCUUCCGCAAAGGGCGAAAGCCUGACGGAGCAACGCCGCGUGAGUGAUGAAGGUCUUCGGAUCGUAAAACUCUGUUAUUAGGGAAGAACAAAUGUGUAAGUGACUAUGCACGUCUUGACGGUACCUAAUCAGAAAGCCACGGCUAACUACGUG